GCACACUACAAUCUUCUACCUCAUCUUCUAUUUCCAAUUUUCUUAAAGAGUCCAAUCCAUGGACACAUCAAUUGUCUCCAAACUUCUCUUAUUUGCUCUUCUAAUCUCAAGUGCCAGAGCUCUGGACCCUUGUGCCUCUCAAGCAGAUGACUCAAGUCUUUCGAUCCUUCCCAUCUACAGCAAAUGCUCACCUUUCAGUCCACCCAAACAGGAAUCUUUGGUUAACACACUCAUUAACAUGGCUUCCAAAGACCCACAAAGGCUCAAGUAUUUGUCAAGCCUACGGGCCCAAAUGACCACUUCUGUCCCAAUUGCUCCAGGCCAGCAGGUCCUAAACAUUGGCAACUAUGUGGUCCGGGUCAAAUUGGGUACGCCGGGUCAAUUGAUGUUUAUGGUCUUAGACACUAGCAAUGAUGCUGCUUGGGUACCCUGCUCCGGUUGCUUUGGCUGCUCCAGCACCACUUUCAUUACCAAUACCUCCUCCACUUACGGGUCACUGGAUUGCUCCAUGGCCCAAUGCACCCAAGCCCAUGGAUUCUCCUGCCCGGCCACCGGCACCUCCUCCUGCCUUUUCAACCAAUCUUACGGUGGAGAUUCCUCUUUCUCAGCUUCUCUUGUGCAAGAUUCUUUAAGAUUAGCCAAUGACGUGAUACCAAAUUUUGCUUUUGGAUGCAUCAACUCCAUCUCUGGUGGGUCAAUUCCCAAUCAAGGGUUGUUGGGUUUGGGUAGGGGACCCUUAUCGUUACUUUCUCAAUCUGGAUCGCUUUAUUCCGGUGUAUUUUCAUAUUGUUUACCCAGUUUCAAAUCCUAUUAUUUAUCGGGUUCACUCAAAUUAGGCCCAGCGGGUCAACCCAAGACCAUCAGAACCACCCCACUUCUACGAAACCCACACCGGCCAUCACUAUACUAUGUGAACCUCACCGGCAUUAGUGUAGGUCGGGUUCGGGUACCGAUUGCCCAAGAGCUCCUAACGUUUAACCCGAACACUGGAGCGGGGACUAUAAUUGACUCAGGCACAGUCAUAACCAGAUUCGUUGAACCGAUUUACGCAUCAAUAAGGGAUGAGUUCAGAAAACAAGUGAAAGGGCCUUUUUCAUCUUUGGGUGCAUUCGACACGUGCUUCGCAGCAACAAAUGAAGCAGUAGCACCAGCAAUAAAGUUGCAUUUCACAGGCUUGAACUUAGUGUUGCCUAUGGAGAACAGCUUGAUACAUAGCAGCGCAGGGUCGCUGGCUUGCUUGUCUAUGGCUGCUGCACCAAAUAAUGUGAACUCGGUGCUUAAUGUCAUAGCCAAUUUGCAGCAACAAAACCUUAGGAUCUUAUUUGAUGUGCCCAAUUCUCGAUUGGGAAUUGCCCGUGAGUUGUGCAACUAGAUUAUUACAU
rnacentral:misc_RNA from 1 species